CCUACGGGGGGCAGCAGUGGGGAAUAUUGCGCAAUGGGCGAAAGCCUGACGCAGCGAAGCCGCGUGAGGGAUGAAGGUCUUCGGAUCGUUAACCUCUGUCAGCAGGGAAGAACGGUCACUGUGCUAAUCAACAGUGAAUUGACGGUACCUGCAAAGGAAGCACCGUCUAACUCCGUGCCAGCAGCCGCGGUAAUACGGAGGGUGCGAGCGUUAAUCGGAAUUACUGGGCGUAAAGCGCUCGUAGGCGGUAUGUCAAGUCAAAGGUGAAAUGCCCGAGCUCAACGUGGGCACUGCCUUUGAAACUGGCAAGCUUGAGUGUGUGGGAGGCAAGUGGAAUUCCAGGUGUAGCAGUGAAAUGCGUAGAUA
rnacentral:rRNA from 1 species